AUGACUUACUAUGGACAUGGAUUGAAUGAGUUUGUACCGCCAAGAACAACUUCUUAUAUCAACCAGCAUGACAUUCAUAUUGGAGAAAUGACUGUAAGAGAAACCUUGGCUUUCUCAGAAAGGUGCCAAGGAGUUGGAUCACGUUAUCACAUGCUUUCUGAGCUAUCUAGAAGAGGAAAACCAAAACAGAACUCCAA